rnacentral:rRNA from 1 species
AUUGAACGCUGGCGGCAUGCUUUACACAUGCAAGUCGAACGGCAGCGCGGGCUUCGGCCUGGCGGCGAGUGGCGAACGGGUGAGUAAUAUAUCGGAACGUACCCAAGAGUGGGGGAUAACGUAGCGAAAGUUACGCUAAUACCGCAUACGAUCUAAGGAUGAAAGCAGGGGAUCGCAAGACCUUGUGCUCCUGGAGCGGCCGAUAUCUGAUUAGCUAGUUGGUGGGGUAAAGGCCCACCAAGGCAACGAUCAGUAGCUGAUCUGAGAGGACGACCAGCCACACUGGAACUGAGACACGGUCCAGACUCCUACGGGAGGCAGCAGUGGGGAAUUUUGGACAAUGGGGGCAACCCUGAUCCAGCAAUGCCGCGUGAGUGAAGAAGGCCUUCGGGUUGUAAAGCUCUUUUGUCAGGGAAGAAAAGGCUGUGGCUAAUAUCCACAGCUGCUGACGGUACCUGAAGAAUAAGCACCGGCUAACUACGUGCCAGCAGCCGCGGUAACAC